UACACACCGCCCGUCACACCAUGGGAGUCAGUUGCUCCAGAAACGGCUGCGCUAACCCGCAAGGGGGGCAGGUCUUUAAGGAGUGACUGGUAACUGGGUG
rnacentral:rRNA from 1 species